AGGUUACAUUAGAGAUUGAGCCCUGAUCUUUGAGAUGGUAUGUACUGAUACCUGGAGAACAGCCUUUGGAGGGAGAGAAUUUAAGACUUCAGGGAAACCUUUGUGUCUUAGAAGCUGAGGUUGCCUUUCAUUAGAUAGAGUGAUCUGUGGUGCCUUAUGCCAGCUGACAAUCAUCGUGUCUUUGGCCAUUUUGCUAAUGAAGGGGAGGAUUAUUGAAGGAGCUAUAAUUCAGCUGGAGACCGGUAUUUGUCAGAGGAUUUUGGAUAUUCCUGUCCAAGAGAGAAUCACCUUUACUUCAGAGUUAUAAUGAAGAACUGAGAACAGAAAAGAAGGUUGUUCUCUACUCCUGGGGUUUUGGAGGCUGUUCACAGUGGCUCCUUCUGCAUCUUGGGAGGGAAGGUUACACCUUUGCACCAGGAAUUCUCUCUGACAGAACCGGAACUUAGAUAGCAAAACAGAUACUCUUCUGCCUCAAUUUAUACAAGCACUGAAGUUCAGUUGUGAAUAAUUCUUUGCCUUUUCUUGCCUGCUUACCUGCUGUUUUGUGUUAGCACAUUAUUUUCUCAUGGCUUUUACAGGUAGUUCUCUUACACACCCAUUGCACCUAUUAAUAUUAAAAUAACCAGGGCUUGUGUGCCCGAUUGUUUUUCAGUGUACCGAAUAAACGGCGCCAAGUGCAUACAAUGCAAUAUAAAAGGGUUUGUCCGCGGGUUUGUUCAUGCGGGAAUGAAGUGGGGGCAGCUAAGCGUGCCUGACUCGCGCAUGAAGGGACAGUGUGGGAAGAGUGCUUGGACUGUUAAAAUGUAACUUUCACAUGGAGAUAUUUCAGGUCGUCUUCUGAAUUUAUACAUUUCAGAAUUUGGUGGUCAGUUCUGUUUCUUUUUCCUUCAGAGCUACUGGGUACCACAUCAUUCAAAUAUAUUGCAACUAUACAGACCAAUAUGAUGACCAGUAGGCAGCAAUAUGAUGACUAGAAGCACAGUAAGAUGUAAACAAAGAGCUACUUUUAUAAUCUAUUACACAUU